rnacentral:snRNA from 1 species
AGCUUUGUGCGGUGGCAGUAUUGUAGCUGAUGAGGUUUAUCCAAGGCACAAUUAUUGUUAAUUGAAAAGUGUUCUUUGGCAUCAGUGGAUUCCCUGCUUUUGAGUUAGGCGCUGUUUAGUCUCUCUGGGAUGGCAGGGAAACCUGCCCACUGGGGG